rnacentral:lncRNA from 1 species
GGGUUAGGGUUUUUUUAAAUCCUUUUUUUUCUAUCAAAGAAUGAACAUUUCAGGGGUUAGGGUUGUUGAGGAAAUAUUAGCAUUGGGGUUUUGGAGGUGUGCAAUUGGGUGGUUGUGUUUCAAUAUGCUGUAGCGCCUUUUUUUUUUUUUUAAUCCUGGCCCAAAACGGCAUCGUUUUGGACAAGUCAUUUUAAAAAAAUGCCUAGGACAAAAC